rnacentral:rRNA from 1 species
ACGAACGCUGGCGGCAGGCCUAACACAUGCAAGUCGAGCGCCCCGCAAGGGGAGCGGCGCACGGGUGAGUAACACGUGGGAACGUCCCCUCAGGUAUGGAACAACGUCUGGAAACGGACGCUAAUACCGUAUAAUGGCUCCGGCCCAAAGCUCCGGCGCCUGAGGAUCGGCCCGCGUCUGAUUAGCUAGUUGGUGAGGUAAUGGCUUACCAAGGCUACGAUCAGUAGCUGGUCUGAGAGGAUGACCAGCCACACUGGGACUGAGACACGGCCCAGACUCCUACGGGAGGCAGCAGUGAGGAAUAUUGGACAAUGGGGGCAACCCUGAUCCAGCCAUGCCGCGUGAGUGAAGAAGGCCUUCGGGUUGUAAAGCUCUUUCGGGUGUGAAGAUGAUGACGGUAACACCAGAAGAAGCCCCGGCUAACUCCGU